UGCCAGCCGCCGCGGUAAUACGGAGGGUGCAAGCGUUGUUCGGAAUUACUGGGCGUAAAGCGCGUGUAGGCUGCUUGAUUAGUCGGAUGUGAAAGCCCUCGGCUCAACCGGGGAAGUGCAUCCGAUACUGUCAAGCUUGAGUACUGGAGAGGGAUGGGGAAUUCCCGGUGUAGAGGUGAAAUUCGUAGAUAUCGGGAGGAACACCAGCGGCGAAGGCGCCAUCCUGGACAGAUACUGACGCUGAGACGCGAAAGCGUGGGGAGCAAACAGGAUUAGAUA
rnacentral:rRNA from 1 species